rnacentral:rRNA from 1 species
GACGAACGCUGGCGGCGUGCCUAAUACAUGCAAGUCGAACGAACGGAUUGAGGAGCUUGCUCUUCAUGAAGUUAGUGGCGGACGGGUGAGUAACACGUGGGUAACCUGCCCUUCAGUGGGGGAUAACCGUCGGAAACGGCGGCUAAUACCCCAUAAGCUCACGCGAGUUAGAGGGCGUGUGAGAAAAGCUCCGGCGCUCCGGGAGGGGCCUGCGGCCCAUCAGCUAGUUGGUAGGGUAAAGGCCUACCAAGGCGAAGACGGGGUAGGGGGCCUGAGAGGGUCGGUCCCCCACAUGGGAACUGAGACACGGUCCCA